UGGGGAAUUUUGGACAAUGGGCGCAAGCCUGAUCCAGCCAUGCCGCGUGCAGGAUGAAGGCCUUCGGGUUGUAAACUGCUUUUGUACGGAACGAAAAGACUCCUUCUAAUAAAGGGGGUCCAUGACGGUACCAUAAGAAUAAGCACCGGCUAACUACGUGCCAGCAGCCGCGGUAAUACGUAGGGUGCGAGCGUUAAUCGGAAUUACUGGGCGUAAAGCGUGCGCAGGCGGUUAUAUAAGACAGAUGUGAAAUCCCCGGGCUCAACCUGGGAACUGCAUUUGGGACUGUAUAGCUAGAGUACGGCAGAGGGGGAUGGAAUUCCGAGUGUAGCAGUGAAAUGCGUAGGUAUGCGGAGGAACACCGAUGGCGAAGGCAAUCCCCUGGGCCUGUACUGACGCUAAUGCACGAAAGCGUGGGGUGCAAACA
rnacentral:rRNA from 1 species